AGAGUUUGAUCCUGGCUCAGAAUGAACGUUGGCGGCGUGGAUUAGGCAUGCAAGUCGAGCGAUGAAGUUCCCUUCGGGGGAUGGAUUAGCGGCGAAAGGGAGAGUAACGCGUGGAUAACCUGCCCUCAGGACCGGGAUAGCUGCGGGAAACUGCAGGUAAUACCGGAUGAUGUCUCCGGACUAAAUGGUGUGAUUCCGCCUGAGGAUGGGUCCGCGUCCUAUUAGCUAGUUGGUGAGGUAAUGGCUCACCAAGGCAAUGAUGGGUAGCGGGCGUGAGAGCGUGGCCCGUCUCACUGGGACUGAGACACUGCCCAGACACCUACGGGUGGCUGCAGUCGAGAAUCUUCGGCAAUGGACGCAAGUCUGACCGAGCGACGCCGCGUGCGGGAUGAAGGCCUUCGGGUUGUAAACCGCUGUCAGAGGGGAUGAAAUGCCAGGUGGUUAUCCAUCUGGUUUGACAUAUCCUCAGAGGAAGUGCGGGCUAAGUUCGUGCCAGCAGCCGCGGUAAGACGAACCGCACAAACGUUAUUCGGAAUCACUGGGCUUAAAGGGUGCGUAGGCGGCGCUGUAAGUUGGAUGUGAAAUCCCACAGCUCAACUGUGGAAUUGCGUUCAAUACUGCAGUGCUUGAGGGAGAUAGAGGAGAGCGGAACUACGGGUGGAGCGGUGAAAUGCGUUGAUAUCCGUAGGAACACCGGUGGCGAAAGCGGCUCUCUGGGUCUCUUCUGACGC
rnacentral:rRNA from 1 species